rnacentral:rRNA from 1 species
AAAACGACUCUCGGCAACGGAUAUCUCGGCUCUCGCAUCGAUGAAGAACGUAGCAAACUGCGAUACUUGGUGUGAAUUGCAGAAUCCCGUGAACCAUCGAGUCUUUGAACGCAAGUUGCGCCCGAAGCCAUUAGGUUGAGGGCACGUCUGCCUGGGCGUCACGC